UGGGGAAUAUUGGACAAUGGGCGAAAGCCUGAUCCAGCAAUGCCGCGUGUGUGAAGAAGGCCUGCGGGUUGUAAAGCACUUUCAGCGGGGAGGAAAAAUUGAUGGUUAAUACCCAUCAAUCUUGACGUUAUCCGCAGAAGAAGCACCGGCUAACUCCGUGCCAGCAGCCGCGGUAAUACGGAGGGUGCAAGCGUUAAUCGGAAUUACUGGGCGUAAAGCGCGCGUAGGUGGCGAGGUCAGUCAGCUGUGAAAGCCCCGGGCUCAACCUGGGAAUAGCAACUGAUACUGCCUGGCUCGAGUACGGUAGAGGGGUGUGGAAUUUCCUGUGUAGCGGUGAAAUGCGUAGAUAUAGGAAGGAACACCAGUGGCGAAGGCGACACCCUGGACCGAUACUGACACUGAGGUGCGAAAGCGUGGGGAGCAAACAGG
rnacentral:rRNA from 1 species